GACGAACGCUGGCGGCGUGCUUAACACAUGCAAGUCGAACGGAAAGGCCCUGCUUUUGUGGGGUGCUCGAGUGGCGAACGGGUGAGUAACACGUGAGUAACCUGCCCUUGACUUUGGGAUAACUUCAGGAAACUGGGGCUAAUACCGGAUAGGAGCUCCUGCUGCAUGGUGGGGGUUGGAAAGUUUCGGCGGUUGGGGAUGGACUCGCGGCUUAUCAGCUUGUUGGUGGGGUAGUGGCUUACCAAGGCUUUGACGGGUAGCCGGCCUGAGGGGGUGACCGGCCACAUUGGGACUGAGAUACGGCCCAGACUCCUACGGGAGGCAGCAGUGGGGAAUAUUGCACAAUGGGCGGAAGCCUGAUGCAGCAACGCCGCGUGCGGGAUGACGGCCUUCGGGUUGUAAACCGCUUUCGCCUGUGACGAAGCGUGAGUGACGGUAAUGGGUAAAGAAGCACCGGCUAACUACGUGCCAGCAGCCGCGGUGAUACGUAGGGUGCGAGCGUUGUCCGGAUUUAUUGGGCGUAAAGGGCUCGUAGGUGGUUGAUCGCGUCGGAAGUGUAAUCUUGGGGCUUAACCCUGAGCGUGCUUUCGAUACGGGUUGACUUGAGGAAGGUAGGGGAGAAUGGAAUUCCUGGUGGAGCGGUGGAAUGCGCAGAUAUCAGGAGGAACACCAGUGGCGAAGGCGGUUCUCUGGGCCUUUCCUGACGCUGAGGAGCGAAAGCGUGGGGAGCGAACAGGCUUAGAUACCCUGGUAGUCCACGCUGUAAACGGUGGGUACUAGGUGUGGGGUCCAUUCCACGGGUUCCGUGCCGUAGCUAACGCUUUAAGUACCCCGCCUGGGGAGUACGGCCGCAAGGCUAAAACUCAAAGGAAUUGACGGGGCCCCGCACAAGCGGCGGAGCAUGCGGAUUAAUUCGAUGCAACGCGUAGAACCUUACCUGGGUUUGACAUGGAUCGGGAGUGCUCAGAGAUGGGUGUGCCUCUUUUGGGGUCGGUUCACAGGUGGUGCAUGGCUGUCGUCAGCUCGUGUCGUGAGAUGUUGGGUUAAGUCCCGCAACGAGCGCAACCCUUGUUCACUGUUGCCAGCACGUUAUGGUGGGGACUCAGUGGAGACCGCCGGGGUCAACUCGGAGGAAGGUGGGGAUGACGUCAAGUCAUCAUGCCCCUUAUGUCCAGGGCUUCACGCAUGCUACAAUGGCUGGUACAGAGAGUGGCGAGCCUGUGAGGGUGAGCGAAUCUCGGAAAGCCGGUCUCAGUUCGGAUUGGGGUCUGCAACUCGACCUCAUGAAGUCGGAGUCGCUAGUAAUCGCAGAUCAGCAACGCUGCGGUGAAUACGUUCCCGGG
rnacentral:rRNA from 1 species